rnacentral:rRNA from 1 species
UACGUAGGGUGCAAACGUUGCUCGGAAUCAUUGGGCGUAAAGCGCACGUAGGCGGCUUCGAAAGUCGGAUGUGAAAUCCCUCGGCUCAACCGAGGACGUGCAUCCGAAACUUCGAGGCUUGAGUACAGAAGAGGAUCGCGGAAUUCCCGGUGUAGAGGUGAAAUUCGUAGAUAUGGCGAGGAACACCAGGCGGAGGAGCGGACUCCC